UUUGGUCUUAAUCAUCUAAAACCACAAGUAUCGGUCUUAGUCGGUGGGCCCACAAGUAUCGGUCUUACUCAUUUGGGCUUACUACUGUUGGUCCUACUCAUUCGGGCUCACUACUUCAAUCUCAGUCGUUCGAGAUGAGAAGUACCGAUCUUAGUUAUUUAGGUCCACAAGUAUCGAUCUUAAUUGUCCGUACCCACUAGUACCAAUCUUAGUCGGCCCAACUCGCAAGUACCAAUCUUAGUCGUUUUCAUCCACAAGCAUCGAUCUUAGUUGUCUGUACCCACAAAUAUCGAUCUUACUCAUUCAGGCUCGUUACUAUCGAUCUUAGUCGGCCCAACUCGCAAGUACCAAUCUUAGUCGUUUUCAUCCACAAGCAUCGAUCUUACUCAUUUAGGCUCAUUAUUAUCGAUCUUAAUCAUCCGGAACCACAAGUACCAAUCUUUGUUGUCUGUGCCAAGUACCAUUCUUACUCAUACAGGUCCACAAAUACUGAUCUUGGUCAUCCAAGCCCACUACUAUCAAUCUUACUCGUAUUGACCCACAAGGCCACAAGUACCGAUCUCAGUUGUCCAGAACCUUAAGUAUCGGUUUUGCUCGUACUGACCCACAAGUGCCGAUCUCAGUUGUCCACAACCAUAAGUAUCGGUCUUGCUCGUUCCGACCCUCACUGAAAAAAUUAUACUUUAUAUUUUUAUGAAAAUAUUUCACGCGUUUACAACAAAAAUACCUUUUCCCCUUCAUAAAAAAAUAUAAUCCCGUCACUUUUUCCAAAUUUUCGGCCCUUGGCAGCCGGGCACCUACAUCAAUCACCAAAAAAGAAACUCGAGCCCCCACGAUCUUAUCCCCCACGUAGCGAUCACUCCACCCCGCGCAUUCUCCUGCUCCUAUCCCCUCCCCAAUUAUCGCCCCACCAAAUCGGAGCUCCUCCGAUCCAUCCGUCCCAGUCUGGUUGAACGCAGCCCCCUUCUCAUCUGCGGGAUCCCGGCCGCCGCCUCACCCACGACCCUCUCCUCCGCUGCCAAGUCUGCUCGAACGCCGCCGCCCUCCUCACUGGCGGGAUCGGAGCCGCCGGCCACCGCCCACCUCGCCUGAAGGAUCCGAUGCCACUGCUCUUCUACGCCGAUCCAUCACCGGCCACCGGUGGUGCAUCACCUGCUUCCCCUGACUGAAGAUUCCUUGCGGCGUUUCGAAGAAGCUGUGGGUGGAAAUUCCGGAACCGCUGCGCCGACGGUGGUGUGAUGCCGGCGAUGGGUCCGCUGGCAAUUCGAUAUGCGAGUAUGUCGCUGCCAACUCUAGAGGUGUGACCAUGAGUUUGCUACUCCUGCCACACGAGUACAACAACUGCGAACAAGCAUGCUAGUGCGUCUUCUGGGACGAAGACAGUGCCGAGCUCUCGACAGCGCAGUCCUGCCAAGCCUUCGAGAUCUGGGUAUGGGACACCUUCGACUGCAUGCCCAUGACCACCGACGGCUACUCAGAGAAGGAGCAGGUGCAGGUGUCACUCAUCCAGCGGUUCCUCGCAGGGGGGUUUAGCCUGAGCGGCGAACACCACCACCUGACCCAGCAGUCGUUGCCGUCAUGCUGCGCGGUGGACUCGUACAUCGUUGACACCAUGAAGGAUCUCCAUCAGCUGCAACGACGACUACAUAUAGUGAAUGAUGAGGAUGUUAAAGAAUAUCGAGUCAUAGAUAUAGCAUUAGAAAGGAGAUACGAAUGGCGCAUAUACUGAUGAUUUUCAGAUCAGAAUAACGUGUUCUCCCCAUGACAUGACCCUGUCGAAAAUUGAUUUGACAUCAGAAAAGAAUUGAUAUUAUCGCCCUUUGUUUCAUUGAUCGUCUGUUUGGCUUA